UUCCGCCAACGGUCUUAUACGACCUCCUAUCGAUACUAGUUUUUAUUCGGACAACGCCCUAAAAUUUGACCUAGCUAUUUUUAAAUGAAUAUUCCGGACUACGGUCAACACCAAUACAUACAUUAUAUAUUAUAAUUACUAUUACUACAAAAUAACUUAGUUGUUUUUAAAAUUAAUAUUACAUGAACAGGUCAUACGAUUUCUUCGAAUAGAAUGUAAGUUUUAAACGAUAACUAGGAAAGUAGGAGAUGAUUCUCGACUAUAUAACGCAGCAUUUGAUAGUCAAACGAUAUCAGUCCAGCUUGUGUUCUCUACCAGCAACAACAAGCGGCAGUCAUUCACCAUCGAAUAUUGAAAAUACUUCAAUCCUACCAAGUUUACCAGUCCAGCAUCGACAUCAUCAAUAAGGGUUCAUCACUCAACAUUGGAAAAUACUUCAAACCUACAUAGUUUACCAGUCCAACACCGGCAUCAUCAACAGUCAUUCGUCUCUAAACAUUAGAAAAUACUUUAAUUUUCAUCAUGAAAAGACAAACGGUGAGAAAAUGCCAGCGGACAAUUUCUACUGAUAAAGAAUUAUUCGAAAUUGAACGAUUUAAAAAAUGCUCGAAAACUUUUAUCAUAAAAAAUACAUUGGAUUUUAUAGAUUA